rnacentral:rRNA from 2 species
GUAUUGAUUGGUGCUUGCAUCAUGAUUUACAUUUGAGUGAGUGGCGAACUGGUGAGUAACACGUGGGAAACCUGCCCAGAAGCGGGGGAUAACACCUGGAAACAGAUGCUAAUACCGCAUAACAACUUGGACCGCAUGGUCCUGAGCUUGAAAGAUGGCGUUCGGCUAUCACUUUUGGAUGGUCCCGCGGCCGUAUUAGCAUAGAUGGUGGGGUAACGGCUCACCAUGGCAAUGAUACGUAGCCGACCUGAGAGGGUAAUCGGCCACAUUGGGACUGAGACACGGCCCAAACUCCUACGGGAGGCAGCAGUAGGGAAUCUUCCACAAUGGACGAAAGUCUGAUGGAGCAACGCCGCGUGAGUGAAGAAGGGUUUCGGCUCGUAAAACUCUGUUGUUAAAGAAGAACAUAUCUGAGAGUAACUGUUCAGGUAUUGACGGUAUUUAACCAGAAAGCCACGGCUAACUACGUGCCAGCAGCCGCGGUAAUACGUAGGUGGCAAGCGUUGUCCGGAUUUAUUGGGCGUAAAGCGAGCGCAGGCGGUUUUUUAAGUCUGAUGUGAAAGCCUUCGGCUCAACCGAAGAAGUGCAUCGGAAACUGGGAAACUUGAGUGCAGAAGAGGACAGUGGAACUCCAUGUGUACCG